AGGAUCAGGGCUGGGCUGACUGCUGACCACCUCAAGGGUCGGCGCUCCCACAGACAGCUCUGCCGGAAUCUCUUUCCUCUGCACCGCUGGUUGACUUCAUCCAGUCCAAGAGCUCAGACACAUCUGUGUUCUGAAUCUGAGCUUCAGGUGCUUGCAUCCAGUAGCCCAUUUGAUUAUGCCACCUUGAUGUCCUUUUGGCAGCUCAAGUUUCAGGUGUAAACAGGCGCCGGUCAAAAGCAAGAAACUGGAAAUACAUGACCUGUGUGCUGAGGUCGCCUCCAUCCUGUGCGGCUUGCUGAUUAACUGUCAGAGCCUGCAAAGCUGUAGAUGGCCCUGGUCGAUCACGGCCACACCACUGGCCCCUGGAGUUGUGUGGGGCUCCUCAGAGACAGAGGAGGGGCGGAGCGGCGCCAACAGGGACAGUCCCGAGUCCAGAGCUGCCACGAGACUGCCUUCUGCUGCUGUCCUUCUAAGGAGCCUCUGUUUUUAACCCUGUGGAGCCUGUGACUCAGUCCACAGGAAUUCCCAGACUAUUCAGAAUGGGUUUCUACCUACUCCGCCUUUCUCUUUCAUCUGAUAAAAAUAAUCACUUUCUUGAA